UCCCUACGGGGUGCACCAGGCGCGAAAACUUUACAAUGCUGGCAACAGCGAUAAGGGAACCUCGAGUGCCAGGUUACAAAUCUGGCUGUCGAGAUGCCUAAAAAGCAUUUCAUAGCAAGGGCCGGGCAAGACCGGUGCCAGCCGCCGCGGUAAUUCA
rnacentral:rRNA from 1 species